rnacentral:rRNA from 1 species
GAUGAACGCUGGCGGCGUGCUUAACACAUGCAAGUCGAACGAUGAAGCCCAGCUUGCUGGGUGGAUUAGUGGCGAACGGGUGAGUAACACGUGAGUAACCUGCCCCCGACUCUGGGAUAAGCCCGGGAAACUGGGUCUAAUACCGGAUAUGACCUCGCACCGCAUGGUGCGGGGUGGAAAGAUUUAUCGGUGGGGGAUGGACUCGCGGCCUAUCAGCUUGUUGGUGAGGUAAUGGCUCACCAAGGCGACGACGGGUAGCCGGCCUGAGAGGGUGACCGGCCACACUGGGACUGAGACACGGCCCAGACUCCUACGGGAGGCAGCAGUGGGGAAUAUUGCACAAUGGGCGAAAGCCUGAUGCAGCGACGCCGCGUGAGGGAUGACGGCCUUCGGGUUGUAAACCUCUUUCAGUAGGGAAGAAGCGAAAGUGACGGUACCUGCAGAAGAAGCGCCGGCUAACUACGUGCCAGCCGCCGCGGUAA